rnacentral:lncRNA from 1 species
UUCUUUACAGUCACUAGUGAAACUUGGGAGGAAUGGCGGUGGAGAUCGACAACUGUUGAGGCGGUUAUAACCGCCUGACAGCCACAAUCACCACCACUUCUCCCUCCCCGCCGAGGUCUAUAAAACCCACAUACUCCUGCUCACUGAGGGACUCCAUUGCUUACCUUUCCUCCACCUUUCACUCCCAUCUCUGUUACUAAGGAAUCGGAUUGGGAGCGACGCCGUCGAAGUAGGAGGCUGAGGCGCCGGGGGAAGCGAUCAAGCUACCGGAAGAGCUGCUCGGCUCCUCCUCGGAGCAAGGUAAAACCUUAAACCCCUCUCCCCCUCAUGAUUUGUAUCCUGUUUAGCUUAGAUCUAAUCUAGCCAUGAGAUAAAAACAGAGGUAGAAGGAAAUAAAAUAAAAGAGAAAUGGAAGAAGAGAAGGGAGGGGGAAGACUCAACCUGUGGUGUUCGGCCGCUGAGUCGGCGUUGGCACGAUCGGCCACAGUUGUGACCAUGGCUGUUGACAGCCGAAUACCCUCCUCCUCCCGAUCAUCUCCUUCACAUUUUUAGUCUGACCCUAACCUAGCACUCCAUGAAUCCAGCCUCAAUACAUCCUUAAAUCUUCCUCUCACCCUUCCUCUCAGUAGGUGACCUCAAGCUCCAUUUCUCCCACCGAGGAAGGAGGAGAAGAGGAGAGGUCAAGGAUGAAGAGAAGAAAAAGUCCGGUGAUGGUGGUCCUAGAUCCGGUAGUCGAGAACUUUGGAGAGGGAGGAUCAGGGCGACUGAGGCCCUCCUUCCUCUCGACGGUGCCCGAGCUUCCAUCUUCCCCCACCAGAGAUGGAGGAAAGGAGCGGCCAGCCGGGCCGCGGUUGCUGCCGGUCGGACCACGGCCGCCACAGGCGCCGCUGGUUGGCCACAGGCGCUGCCGGCUUCGGGUCGACCUUCUUCCGAGCUCAACCCCCUUGCCUCAUGGGAGGAGAGGAGAAGAGGAGGAGGAGGGGAUCGGGAAGGGAAGAAGAAAGGAGAAGAAGGUUCGGAAAGGGAGGAGAAGAAAGAAAAGAAAAAGAAGAAAAGAAAAGAAAAGAAAAGAAGAAAGGAAAAUAAAAUAAAAAUUGAUGUGGGUCGAAUAGGGCCUGAUUCCGACGGUGGGAU